rnacentral:lncRNA from 1 species
AAUCAUGAAAAUGGACUAAAACGAGUAAAUGAAUUGUUUGCAUUUUUGAAAAUAUUCCUUAUUGUUAUUAAAAUUGGACUAAUUAUUUUUAAUAAUAACACUCAUUCAUUUAAAAAGAUUAAGGAAAGCGAUACUGGAAUUCAUUGGGAACAUUUAUAAUACAUGUUUGUAACCAUGGUAACUAAGGGUCCGUCUCUCUCUACACAUGUUAUCUAUUAGUCACGCCAAUGGUUUACACACUAUUCAGUUCAUUUGAUAGAGGUUUAAGCUGCAAUAGAACAAGUUUAUUCAUUAGGAACAGAAGGAUGAUGCAGAAAAAGUGAUGCCCGGUCCAGUGGUUUUGCCGUGAUGAAGAUUUUGAGAAGUAAGCUAUUAAAGAGUGCCUUUACAAAGAAUCUGUGAUGAAGUGAUUUGGAAAUGCAAUAGAUCAAGAGAAGAAAAAAAAACAGUCCAUAGUGAUCCGGAAACAAAUACAGCUACAAUGUUUCGGACAGUUGACAGUAUCAAUAAAACAAUAAGACCCAUAUACAAUUCCAGAACGCCCCUAAACGCCCAUAUUAUAUAUACGACAUGGGACCCAGAAAGGUCCCACAUGGGUUAUAAGAUCUGGGACCCAUAAGGGACCCACAUUGUUCCCAUAUAGUAUAUCCCAUAUGGGACCCAUGCCAAAAUGCUUUGCAAAACCCAUCUGGGUCCCAUGUGGGUAGCCCAUAUAGUCCGAGAGCUCACGGACUU